AGAAUGCUGGCUGGAAAGUGCUGACAUUCCCCUGGCUACUCCAUGAGCCCUGGAAAGAAAGGAUGUUUCUGUCGUGUAGCUCUGGCACAUUGUAGCAUUGAGCUUUUCCGUCUGUGUUAGAAAAGACUCAUCAUAUGACUGACUUCAGCCAAUGAAGCAUAAGUGGAAGUGACAUGCAUCACCUCUGGAUGAAAGUCAGCAAGAGUCAGUUUAUAAUUUCCCACAUUUCCUUGCCCUUGUCAUGGUGACCAUGAUGCUUCCAAUGAUAGAGGCUCUAUUUGUUUUUGUUCCUGAGUGAGACAACGUGGGGACAAGUCUCUAGUGGACUUGCAAGGCUUUAUUGUUUCAAGCGACUGAGCGUUGGGGUUUGUUACAAAGCCCAUACUGACUAAUGUGCUUUUAAUUCUUUAUUUACACAUUUAAAAUGCUGCUUACAUUUUCUGAUCAGCAUAUGUGCAUUAUGGGGAACUUUGAAAAUACAGAAAAGUAUCAAAAAGAAAUAAACAUGCACUGAAAUUACCUAUACAGAAAUAAUUUCUGUUAAUAUUUUGAUGUAUUUUUUCUCUCUUUUUCUCAUAAAACUAAGAUCACACUAUAUAUACACUACUGGUGUUUUUGGUUUAUAUUAUAUCGAUAGUCUUUAAAAUAUAUCAUCUGUGGCACAAUAUUAGUGAAGGAAUGUUGUAAUCUAUUUUUAUAUUUGUGUAUUUCCUAUUUAUAUUAUAUAUUCAAUAACAAAAUAACAUUUUACUUUUUUUUCUUUUUCUUGUUGUAAACAACAUCCCAAUGAUACAUUAGUACGUAUCUUUGCUCACAUUGCUGCUUAUGUCCUUAGGGUAGAAGCUAGAAGGAGAAUUACUGGGCCAAGAAGUAUAAAUAUUUUUAAGACUUUUGCUACCUAUUGCAAAACUGCCCAGGAGAAAGGUUGUACCAAUUAGCACUGCAGCAAGGAGACAUGGGCCAUCUCACCACCUCCGUUGACGGCUAGAAUUCCUUUUAAUCUCUGUUAAUUUGUCCCCCAAACACCAAACUGUUAAACAGAGAGCAACGCGGGAAGCCAGCAGCGCUGUUCUGUUGCCACGGAGCCUCAGCACGUGUUUUUGAAGUACACACACAAAUGGACAGACAGAUGUACCUUUAUCUAUAAAUAUCAUCAGUUGGCGGAAUCCCCAGUAACAAAGAAAAAGUAGGUAAGGGGUUGUGCCUCACACUGCCCUUCUUUCUUUUCUCUUUAAUAUUGCCCUGGAUGUGUGUUGUGAUUUCAUUUUACCAGCAGGUGUGUGUGAGUGUGUGCGUGUGUGUUUGGAGGUGGUGGGGAGAGGGGGGCAGGGUAUGACUCCCCACAGGGUGGUUAGUCUGCACCUUCAUAUUCCCGUGAGUUCAACCCUGGGUCCCACAUCAGA